GGCCUGGUAGCUCAGUUGGAAGAGCAGUGCUAAAUAAUUGGAGUACCAGAAUUGUUUCUUGUACAGGCGCGUGUUCGAACCAUGCCCAGGCCA